rnacentral:rRNA from 2 species
UUUAAACCCAAAGAAUUUGGCGGUACUUUAUUCCAUUCAGAGGAACCUACCCCGUGAUUGAUAGUACACGAUUAACUUUACUUAAUUUAUUUGUUUGUAUAUCUCCGUUAUCAGAAAAUCUUUUUAGAGAUUAAAUUUUCAUAAUUUAUUAUUAUAAAAUAUUUCAGGUCAAGGUGCAGUUUAUAAUUAAGAGGAGGUGGGUUACAAUAAAUUUUUGUUUAUUACGGUUAUUUUAAUGAAAUAUUAAAAUUUAAGGUGGAUUUGAUAGUAAAUUAACUUAUUUAAUUUAAUUGAUACU